rnacentral:rRNA from 1 species
UACGUAGGGGGCAAGCGUUGUCCGGAUUUAUUGGGCGUAAAGAGCGUGUAGGCGGCCAGGUAGGUCAGCUGUGAAAACUCGAGGCUCAACCUCGAGACGUCGGUUGAAACCAUCUGGCUAGAGUCCGGAAGAGGAGAGUGGAAUUCCUGGUGUAGCGGUGAAAUGCGUAGAGAUCGGAAGGAACACCAGUGGCGAAAGCGGCUCACUGGACCACAACUGACGCUGAGGCGCGAAAGCUAGGGGAGCAAACAGG